ensembl:lncRNA
UCCUUAUACAGAACAACUGCUUUCCCAGUGUUGAUAGCUUGCCACUGGAACUCAGAGCGUUGCCAAGUGUCUGCAGUGCAGUUUUGUUGUGUGGGAUGUGUAAAAGGAGAAACGGAGCAAAUUCCUCCAACUUUUUUUUUUUUUUAUCUUCACAAAGACAGGUCCAAAUCUCUUAGUUCUGCUUAAAUCAUCUGCCUCAUGACAAGUCUGUGGAUUCCCCAAAUAACUGUGUCAAAUCAGAUUAAAAGUUUAAUUCUGCGUUGGAAGACUGAGCUAGAAGGCCCCCGUGAGCCCAGGACCCUUCUCCCUCUUCCUGAAGACAGCUCCUGUGACCCUCGCUCGAGGACCCGUGGCGGGGUUAGGGAAAAGAUGGAAAACAGUCAUUGUAAAGGUGUCAACCGCUUGGAACGCUGCAGGCGGCGACACCCUGGAGCUGGUAACUGGUGCUUCGGGCGCUGGUGAGGUAUGCCCUGCUUGCCCUGAGCUGAAAGGCUCCCCCGGAGCCUCCCAGUCUGGGCUGUCAUUGAGCUGCACCUCAGACAAUGGGCUUCUCGGUGAGCUUUCUUCUGGGGGCCCUCGAUAGGCCCGAGCGGGGAUGGCCUCUGAGAAGUGCGAGGACACAGCCCUCCUUUGUGUUAGAGCAGCAGGUCUUGUUGGGUGUUGCCAGCAGGCUGCCGACUUGGUUGACAGCCUCCCCACCUGCUCUCUCCCACUCAGCCUCCAGAUUCCCAGGGCUCCCUGUGCACCCACCCACCGUCCUCCGUCCUCCUCAGCCUGCUCCCAGGGUGUCUGGGAGGGAGCCCCAAGGAGAGCCAGCGGGGUGCAAAUAAGGGACAGUUUGCUCUCUUGAGGUCCCUUCCCCGGUCUGCAUGGCUAACGUACCAUCAGGGUUCAACCAGCCUGAGAGCCACUUCUCAGGUGCCUCGGUCGUGUCUGACUCUUUGCGACCCCGUGGACUGUAGCCCACCAGGCUCCUCUGUCCAGGGGAUUCUCCAGGCAAGAAUACUGGAGUGGGUUGCCAUGUCCUCCUCCAGGGGAUCUUCUGGACCCAGGGACCGAUCCCGAGUCUCUGUGUCUUCUGCACUGGCAG